CCAACGCAGCUGCCCAACCCUGGCCGAUCCAGCAGAGAGAGCAGAGCCCUGAGGACUGCGGGUACCAGGGCUUCUGGAACCCAGCAGAGGGCAGCAAUCCCCUUCUUACUGAGCCGCUGGCGCCGCGGAGGCCCCAGGAUUUCACCUCCGCCAGGCGGGCCUCCGGACCCCGCCCCCAGGAGGCGUCCAGGGAUCUCCAGGUCUAAGGGGGCUGCAGCGACAAGAUGGCCUCUCCGCCCAACCCAGGAGAGAUAAUGGCCCAGCCUCACCAAGGGAAGUACAGGAACAGACAAGUUUCAAGAAAACACCCCCUCCUUCAUUUCUCGCUGGGAGUUAUCUGGAGCUUUGCUGUCAAUAUGGUAGCUAGUAGCCAUGGGAGCUAUUAAAACUGAAGUCAAAACAAUGAGGUACUUCUCAUUAAAUUAAAAUCAAAUAAACUUUUAAAUUUAGCUCCUCAGUUACAUCUCUUGUUCUCCUGAGAGUAGGUACUCAUGUAUUUGUUACAUGCGCUCACAGCUGCCGACCUGGACAGCACUGACUACAGUGCUGCAAACAUGUCUAUCUUUGCAGUUCGCUCUGUUGAACAGGUCUGAUUCAGAG